ACCGACACGAAUUGAAAAAGUUUUCCGGCGGAAAGGCGGAAGGGUGUAGGCGGAAAGGCUCGCGUGUAACGUCACGAUAAAUCGUACGAAGACGUUGAUGGCCGACAGGUAGCUUGGAUAUUGCGCGUUGCAUCGUAUACACACCGAUCUACAGGGUGGAUCAGAAGUUUGCCAGAUCGAUAUCGUGAUCACGUUUAUGGUCUGUGGACAUAGGCUUCUCGGCAAGUUAUGCUUGCCAAGGACCAGGAAAAAACAUCAGAACGAGCCGAAGCAGCGUGAUGGCAGAUUUGUUGAGUUAACAUCGAUCCUGUUUAUUGGAC